CGGGACGCCGGCGCUGACAUGCUCACCGUAGGCGACGUCAUGGCGGUGCUCGACUUCAGGGAGGAGGUCGGCAACCACCACUUCUUGGACCAAGUAAAGCUUUGCUCGCCAUUGAAAUAAUCUCGUUUCUUGUUUUUUCUCUUUCUGAUAUGAUUGAUGAUUUAUUCCAUUUGCACAAAAGGAUUCUCGAGGAAAUAGCACAAGCUAAUUCAAAAUCAUCUCUUAGUUGAUCAAGCAUGUAAUCAUAAAGUGAAGGUAGAGAAGUUUGGAAUAGUAACCUCGUGGUUUCAUUACCCACGCAUUGGAGAUCCCAUGCAAACUAUUGUGAUUUGUGAGAAGUUUCAGAAAUUUGCAAUUUGUGAGCGGCGUAAAAAUGUCAUAAAUACAGUCACAAACCCAUCAGAUCUAUGCUAUGGAUGCCGUGGUGAUUGCUGGAACGGAGGGUUCCUGGGAUGAUGAGAAGAUGAAUCUAAAUGGUCUGACGGUCUGAGUACUCGUCGGCAUGACGAGGUGACUACAGAUCCACCAUAACAUGCGAGUGGCAAUGCUCCAGGACAAGCAGGUCAAACUAUUGUCCAAAUAAUUUUUUGUACGAUUGGAAGUGCAAGCAUUUCUCCAAGAUGGUUUGGUCCUGGUGUUCAUGCAGCCGGCGAUGGCAUACCUUCACAGAAUGGAGUACGGCGUAGGUGUUCAAGGGUUGUAUCAGGCCGCAUGGGAAGAACCUGAAGUCGCAAGUGGAUACGGUCAAGAACAUAGUUAAAGGUGAUAUGGGAGAUAAGUUCCAUAGGCAAGCUGGAUUGAGGCUUGAUGAGCCGAACCCAAGGGACG